CUCUAUUACAUUCAAAACCAGAGCUGCAGCUACUUGGUUUACUAAUCCCAAAGAUUAAUUCAAUAGAAGUAGGGGUUUAUUUUUACUGGUUCAUUUGCUUUAUCUUGAAAAAUAAAGUAUAGUUUGAUAGUUUGAAGUUUUUUUUGUGUGUAGUAUAAUAAAGAUUCCCAUUAUAGUACUACAUCAUAUGUAUCUAACUAUUGCAUUGUAAUAAUUUAGCAACCUGAAAAUAAUGUAAAAUAUAUUUAUACAUAUAUGUAUAUGUUCAUAUAAUAAGUAUGUUAUUUCUAGUUUCAGAAGUCAUAAAAAAGUAAAUACCCAAAGAACCCAUAGCUGUAAUAAUAAUAAUAAUAAUAAUAAUAAUAAUAAUAAUAAAGACACAACGAUUUGACCAGUGUUAAAAGGCAAGAUUAAGUAACAAUUAUUAAGGAGUUACUAUGUGAUACAGAACAUGAGUGUUAUAUUUUUAUUUAAUCAUCAAAAAGUAUAAUUGCUAGCAUUGUUAUCCACAUUUUGUGGACAAAGAAACUGGCAUUACAUGCCUUAGUAUUGGUUAACUUCCUGUGACUAAUUACAGAGCCAGGACUCAAACUCACACACUUUGGACUCUAGACCACGAGCUCUUUUGUGUUCAUCACAUCAGGCUUUGCUCUGCCCCUGGCCAGUAACAACUGUUGCUCAAUUGAUUCUUUGCGUUUAUUUCUGUAACAGAAGUGUGUUGGCCUAUCUUAACAAUCCCUAGUGUUUGAACAGUCAAUAAAUGUGUUCACCACACAUCAUUGUACUUGUUUAAUGUUCUCUAUUCAUGAUUUCAAAAUAACUAUGACUCAGUGAUGCUUUGAACUUAAUUUCAAUUUUAUUAAUUAAAACAGAUCUGAAUACACAGAAAUAUACUAGUUGUGAUAGCAUGGAAAGUUUUGUUUUAAAAAGGAAAUUAUAUCUGAAAAUGGCGCAAAGACACAUGAAGAAGGUGUGAACCACAUAUAUGUGAGUGAAAGCUGGCCUGGAGUAAACUUUAAGGGCUUUAUGCAAAAGGGCUGCUGCCUGAAAGGCAAUAGGAUCCCAACAGAGAGAGUCUGUAAAGAGAUGGAGUCCUGAGAUCCAAAUCCUAGCUAAGUGCAAGUGAAUGGGCAGAGGAGUAAAUGGCUGAAGAACCCUACAAGGAACUGAAACACCUUACAAGGGAAAACAGAGCAGGCGCCAGCUAUGACACCUGCCAAACCAGACAGCAAUGAUGGCAGCUCACAAAGUACCAUCAUGGAGGGGCUCUCCUGUGCCCUCGCCUCUCGUCCCGCCACCAUCUGGAGCCCCGCAUGGUCAGGAACAGUGCAAGUUAGCAGCUGAGGAGAGGAACAAAGACAAGUUGGGUUAAAAGAGGAGCAUCUAUCUAAACUGUACUGUACGCUGCUAGCCUGCCUUCUGUCGCACAGCUGAUUAGCUUAUAGCACAACUGAAGAGGGAGAUGCCAUCUUGCCUCCAUGAUUUGAUAAGCAUGAAGAUAAAAGGUUUCUUGUGAGGAUGAUGGAGCAAAAUGAUAGAAGAGGGGCUAGACUCCCUGCCUUCAGACUUCUGGUUGUGUGAAGAAAAUAAAAUGCUAUUACAAGGUUAAGCUACAAAUAUGGGCUUCUAUUUCAUGUACCUAAUUAUAUCACAAUUCAUACAAUAUCUAUGAAAUUGGUAAAAGUAUUCAUUUUGAAGGCUUAAUCUGAGGGACUCACAGAUAUCUAACACAAUCAAAUCUGAAAAAAAGUAUGGUCCUUUAAUUCAUUAUGAUUUUGAAAUUGAUCUUUCACAGUCUUUUAGUUAUCACAUUAUUAAAUAUAUUUGAACAUUCAAA